rnacentral:misc_RNA from 1 species
AAGUAAUAAGGUGGAAGAUUUCUGAAAGAACAAAAACAAAUCAGCAAAGAAAACAAAUUUCGAGACCUUAGUAUCCUCAUAAUCUCCUUAUCACUUUGUUGGACUAGAAUGGUAUCUUGAAUAAACACCAACUAUAUAGCAUACGGAGUUGUCAACAACAAUGCUACUCAAUUUCAUUCAUAAACUCCUUUCAGGAGGAGAUAUGCCCAAGUUUAUAUGUAGCA